rnacentral:lncRNA from 1 species
CCUUUCUGUGUUCAGGGCUUAGGUUCCAUAAGGCAGACGGAAAGCCCUCUCAUGGAUUCUUGUUUUGGUUUGUUAGCUUAAGUGGGUUUUUGUAUUUGUAACCAGAGUCCUAAUUGGUGCACAUUAUGAGAAGGACUUGAGUGAUAAUUGUGUCAGCAAAAGCUAAUGGUCACAGUGGACACAUUAAGUGAAAGCUGACAUGCCUUUUCUCCAAAGCUGCAAUCAACCCUUAAUCCUGCAGAGCUGCAUUACCUCUGAUACGGAUCACCCAGUCCCUUCCUUCUGCUCCUCUUUCCAGUCAUUCAUUCGAUGACUCCACAAAUAUCUGGAGUGUUCCUACUGCGUGCCAGCUGAUUGAUUCUACUAGAGAUGGAGCCACCACUAACCAUGAAAAAUUUAUAAACUUUCCUCACGACUUUGUCACAUGGAAGCUUCUGGUCGCCCUCAGUUUGGAACACUCAGAGGCUUGCAGAGCAAGCUGUUUUCAUGGUCGAGCGUUUCACACAGCCUGGUUGAGGUCAGAACCACAUUCCUGGGAACAUUGCCCCUGCUGAACUAUGAAAUUUCCUGAUUAAGGAAAUGAGAGGAAAUAAGGCAUUAACUAGCACCUACGCACAGCACACAAACUUGAGGAGUUCUUUUUUUCUUUCUUCAGGAGAAUUAAAAACAGAAGAUGCUGCUGUUACAAUUCUCUGAAAUAAGACGACAAAACCAAGGAUGAACAUUUAACAGCUGUUUUGGAAUGGAUUCUGGGAAUAAACAAAAAGCUGCCUAUGGUUUCGCCACAGUUAAAAAGCACAGAUUUGCUGUGAUUCAUACGGUCUAUAGCUCGUAAGCUGAGCCAAAGAAAUGAUGCCAAGAAAAGACAAUGACAAAGGGAGAGGCUUAAUCAUCAUGACAGUUGCAAUUAUAAUUAAAUGUAAACUUGAGAAGAGGAUUGCUUCACUCUGGCAAGAAGGCCAAGGUUUGGUGGAAGUCUACAGCAAGUGGACCAAAGGCUGUUGUUAAAUUUCUUUCUCUACUCAAAGAACUUCCAACUUUUACUUAUUAUUAAUAUUUAUAAAGUACAAGAAAAGAAAAUAAUAUUAUUUUAAAGCUGGCAUGAGACUUCCUCUUAGAAUGUCCCAGGCCCUCCCUCCCCCCCCCAACUCUCUUUUAUUUUCUGCCUGCUUGCCUUCCUUAAAUUUUAAAAAAUAAGCCAGUUUAGAGUAGAAGCCGAGAUAUCAGAGGGAGGAAUGCGAGCAAAACUGCCUGGAUGAGACAGGAAAGGAGUUUGUGUUUUGAACCAGAUGGGAAAGGACAGAGCCAAGUAAAACGAGGAGAAAGUGGAAUGAGCAAGAUGGCCAACG